AAAACUACCUGUCAGGGGAGAUACCAUGAUCAUGAAGGCGUUUUUCCCAGGGUGAGACUCAUCCAUUGCAGUCUGGAUGUGCUGACUCCAGCGAUUUUCCCAAAUGCGGAAAACUCAGCUGAAUUAUUUGUGGUGCAGGGGGUUCUGUACUAAAUGUCCUUA